rnacentral:lncRNA from 1 species
UAAACUGCGCUGAUUGCACUUUUGAGUUGAAACAGAGCCAGCUGUUGUUCGAAUUCGGAGGAUCAGGGACCUUUGUUAGGUGUCUAAGGGGCAGUUGCAGUGUGGUUACAAGACACGCAGCUUGCACUGGGGUUAACGAUACAAAACCAUCUUCGGUUGCUUCUGGGCAGGCCCCCGCAGAAGCAGGGAGAUGGGCAACUUGGCGCAGCGGAAUGAGCGGAAUGAGUAAGGAGUGCGAGCGCUGCUGCCGCACCUUGCCGUGUUGAUGUUGGCUUCUGGACGCCCCUUCCACAUUCUGACAGCAAAAGGACAGACAACCUGACAGGAAGUAGGUUAUGGUGUAGGUCAUGCGCUGUAGGACCGCAGUAUACUUCCGGGCCCUAGGCGGGAAAGGCAAAGGCCUCUAGGAGGGGAUGGGCAGUUGGUUUCCUAUAUCUUGCGUGGUUCUUUCUUCCUUACCGUUCGAUUCCUGUAGGGACUCUUGCAGCAAUUUUAGACUCCAUCGCUGCUUUUGCGCCUCUACUGUACAUGUGACGGUGGCAGUGGUGUAUGGGGCUCUCAACAACUGCCAGACCUAACGG